GAGCACGUAGGUGGGUUUGUAAGUCAGAUGUGAAAGCCUUCUGUUCAACGGAAGAAUUACAUCUGAAACUGCGAGUCUUGAGUGUAGGAGGGGAGAAUGGAACUUCUGGUGGAGCGGUGAAAUGCGUAGAUAUCAGAGGGAACUCCGGCGGCGAAAGCGAUUCUCUGGCCUAUUACUGACACUCAGUGUGCGAAAGCUAGGGGAGCAAACGGGAUUAGAUACCCCGGUAGUCCUAGCCGUAAACGAUGGGCACUAAGUAGAGGGGUUUU
rnacentral:rRNA from 1 species